UAUUUUUAUUUCGCUUCAAAUUUAUAAUAAUUAUAUUCCACAUCGAUCAUACAAUUAUAAUCUGUCUCUCCAACAAUAAUAAUCGCGACCAAAAAAGUUGCAACAUUAUUAUUAUUUAGACGCUUGAAAUCAAACGUUUGUGUGAUUUUGAUGUACUGAACAAUUAUAAUCUUGUCAGAUUUUCUUUGGGAAAGAUUAUUAUUAUUUGGACGCUUGAAAAAGUAAACGUUUGUCUGCCGAAGACAAUCACGUGGUUUAAAGCCAUGUGCUUCCCUGAUCAACAGUGCCGAGUACGGCGCCAGUGAAAGGCAGGCGGUUUGCCGAUUAUGCAAGUUGAAGAAAGGAGCUGCUGUGGGAUGGUAAAAAAAGUUCCAGGAGCUACAAAGAGUCUUGAUUUUUAAAGGGGUGCAGAUUUUAAAGAAAGAAAAAUGUGUUGUAAAGAAAGAAAAAGAUUUUCCAUCAAAUAAUGGUGGAUGACAAAGUUCUUCCUAUGAAUGAUGUCAUAACCCACUUUGAAAAAAAAGUUGGUUGGAGAGAAAAGGAUCUGAAGAGGGAGAAAGAAUUGAUUAUAUUCAGAUGGAUUUAUAGACUGUUAGACCUUUUGCUAUCACUUAAUUCUGUACUAUUAGUUCUGCAACACUGAGCCUAUAAGCUUUUGACUUGAUGGUUUAUCUAAUUUGAGAGAGCAUAGUCCAGUUAUUAGGCAUUUCAAGAUUAACAAUGCAGAAUAUGUACACAUGUAAUGGCAGGUAAAAAUCCCACACAAACAGGACACUGAUAAG